rnacentral:rRNA from 1 species
GUUUGAUCCUGGCUCAGGACGAACGCUGGGGGCGUGCUUAACACAUGCAAGUCGAGCGAAGAGCGAAAACGAGUCUUCGGACAAAUUUUCAAUCUUAGCGGCGGACGGGUGAGUAACGCGUGAGAAACCUGCCUUGCACUAGGGGAUAGCCUCGGGAAACCGGGAUUAAUACCCUAUGAUACUAGAGCUUCACAUGGAGCACUAGUUAAAGCGUUUAGCGGUGCAAGAUGGUCUCGCGUCCCAUUAGCUAGUUGGUGAGGUAAUAGCUCACCAAGGCGACGAUGGGUAGCCGGCCUGAGAGGGUGAACGGCCACAUUGGAACUGAGACACGGUCCAAACUCUCGGGAGCAGCGUGGGGAUAUUGACAAUGGGGGAACCUGAUGCAGCGACGCGCGGAGCGAUAGUUUCGAUGUAAAGCUUGUCCUAAGGGACGAUAAGACGGUACCUUAGGAGGAAGCCGGCUAAUACGUGCCAGCAGCCGCGGUAAUACGUAGGGGGCUACGUUUCGGAAUUACUGGGCGUAAAGGGUGCGUAGCGGUUUGUAAGUCAGAUGUGAAUCCCACGGUUAACUGUGGUAAGCAUUUGAAACUGCAGGCUUGAGUACAGGAGAGGAGAGUGGAAUUCUAGUGUACGGUGAAAUGGUGAUAUUAGAGGAAUACCAGUGGCAGAGGGACUUCUGGACUGUAACUGACGUGAUGCACGAAAGCGUGGGAGCAAACAGAUUAGAUACCCUGGUAGUCCACCCGUAACGAUGAGUGUAGGUGUUGGAGGGGACACCUUCGGUGCCAAGUUACACAUUAAGCACUCCGCCUGGAGGAGUACGGUCGCAAGACUGAAACUCAAGGAAUUGACUGGGGACCCGCACAAGCACGGAGCAUGUGUUAAUUCGAUGCACCAAGAACCUUGCCAGGGCUGACAUCCCCGACGGAGCUAGAAUAGUCCUUCCCUUCGGGGACUGGAGACGUGGUGCCAUGUGUCGUCACUCGUGUCAUGAGAUGUUGGUUAGAUCCCGGCAACAGCUGCACCCGUGCCUUAUGCACAGUUCGGCUGUGCACUCUAAAGGGACUGCCGAUGACAAAUCGGAGGAAGGUGGGGAUGACGUCAAAUCCUCAUGCCCUUUAUGUCCUGGGCUACACACGUGAUACAAUGGUCGGUACAACGGGUUGCCACCUCGCAAGAGGGCGGUAAUCCCUUAAAGCCGAUCCCAGUUCGGAUUGCAGGCUGCAACUCGCCUGCAUGAAGCCGGAGUUGCUAGUAAUCACGGAUCAGAAUGCCGUGGUGAAUGCGUUCCCGGGUCUUGUACACACCGCCCGUCACACCAUGGGAGUUGGAAAUACCCGAAGCCGGUGAGCUAACCGUAAGGAGGCAGCUGUCGAAGGUAGGGCCAAUGACUG